UAUAAACAAUUUGCCUUCUUUAACUAUGCUUUGCUUAAUCCUUUGUAGAUAUUGCAGUUUUUAAAAAUCAAAGGUUUGUGGAAUCUCUGCUUCAAGCAAGUCUAUCCAACACCAUUUUUCCAAAGCAGGUCUGAUUGCUGCCUGGAGGGACUUUGCCUGAGAAUGAUAUAAUUGGAUGAAUAAAAUAGAUGGAGAAUAGUAAGCAAAGCACCUUCACCCAAGACUGCUAUGUAGACUGUGAUGGGACAUGGCAAUGGGAUAAGAUGUGAUUUUCUCAGUAAUGUCCAAGCAAUUUCACCUGAUUAAGAAUUAGUUCUGGAACCUAAUAAGCAUCAUGAAAAAUGAAGAACUGGGCUUCUUCUUGACCAAGCUUAUGACCAUGCUUAUCAUUUUAUGAUGAUACUUUAAGAGAGAUAAUAGUCAUUUCUAAGCCUGCAUAUUGAGUUUUCAAAAUUCCAUGUAGA